CCGCAAUUGCCGUAGUAAGGUUGCUGCCCCAGCGGGCAGCACGAAGAAGGAACCGUGUGCAAAUCACGGGCUGACGCGCAACUGUAAGUAACACCACAGAAACGGCCACCUAGGUCCAUUGCCCCGCUGGGGCGAGAAGGACGGCCGCUUUCGUUACAAGCCAGGAGACUUGCCUUUACUACGCCGUGCCG
rnacentral:ncRNA from 2 species